rnacentral:lncRNA from 1 species
GAGGCAGUCUGAGUCAUCACCUGGUUUGUUUGACAUACACUUCCUUCCAUAAAUUGGGAAUGGCAAGCGGCACAGUGUUCUGGGCUUGCCUGGGAGAAGGAGCUGUUGCAGUCUUGCACGAUCAAAAUAGGGCCUUUAGGUUUGAAGGAUGAGGUUGAGCCCAUAUUUUGACUCCAAAUGUCGGGGGAGGGGAGAAGAAGUCGACAGAUCCAAACAAGGAACAUUUGAAUGAAAUGCAGAUAACUCUUUAGAAAACUUUUGUAGGAAAAGCGCCUCGUGUGAUCUGGAACAAAGACGUUUUAUAAUCAGAUUUAUCAAGCUGCGAAGAGGGAGUUUUAGUGAACGGAAGCAGCAGCAUUCUGUCACCAGGAAAUACUCCUUUAUCCAGAAUUGGAGGUAUAAACCAGUGGAGUUUAUCAUUGAAUAGAGUGCAGAGAAAGGACCGCAAGAAAGCUGAUCACCUCAGCAAUGAAUGAUUUCAAUACGAUUUCACCCAAAUGGUCUCACACACCAGCCUAGUAAACCAGAGAUAAGGUGUAAUGUCAUCCUUCCUUCCUUCUCCCUGCCUCAACUGUCAAAGAUUGACAACUUACAUGUUGUUUACUUUUUGGCUUCUAUUUCUGUUCAUAAUUAUUAUCAGAAGGCAUAGCACCCACAAGCCUAAUCAUACUGCCUUACAACCUUAUUCCUCUUCAUUUUGUCUUCUCACUUACCUGCAGAAACCCAGUUUAUUUUUGUUCUCCCUUUACCACACCAGCCUUGUAACUGUUAUGAAUGACCCUCAAUCUCACUGGAAUCUGAAUCACUCAGGAAUUCAAGCAAACUGGAUGUUUUAACCACUGUUCAGCUUUCUUAUGGAAUGACAGAGAACUUGUAAAGAUAAAACACCAGUUUGCAGGAAGAAAGGAAGAGAAUGGAAAUUGCUUCUGGAAAAUACUAGUUUUACAAUAUGUUUUGUUUGUCUGCUCUCUUAAAUAAACUUAAUCCUAUAAACAUUUUUUAAGAACUAGCCAUUAAGACUGUUAAGUUCUCAAUUAUAAAGGAAUAAAAUGUUUUAAGGAGGAUUUAUUUGCCCUUGCUUAUAUGAACUGCAUAUUUUUAGUAGGAAAUCAUGUAAUUUAAAUUAGUAUUGGUUAACAGAUUUAACGUAGAAAAUGGACAUAUAAAGAAUACAAGGAUAAAUGUCUACAUGUAAUAAUGGAUGGUAGUGAUAUAAUGCAUUUUUGUCAUCCCAUGCUGAAUUCAGUAAAAAUAAAGCUAAUGACUUGGAGCUUUUAAAAGAU